rnacentral:rRNA from 1 species
GAAAUUGCGGCGUGCUAUACAUGCAGUCGAGCGGACAGAUGGGAGCUUGCUCCCUGAUGUUAGCGGCGGACGGGUGAGUAACACGUGGGUAACCUGCCUGUAAGACUGGGAUAACUCCGGGAAACCGGGGCUAAUACCGGAUGGUUGUUUGAACCGCAUGGUUCAGACAUAAAAGGUGGCUUCGGCUACCACUUACAGAUGGACCCGCGGCGCAUUAGCUAGUUGGUGAGGUAACGGCUCACCAAGGCGACGAUGCGUAGCCGACCUGAGAGGGUGAUCGGCCACACUGGGACUGAGACACGGCCCAGACUCCUACGGGAGGCAGCAGUAGGGAAUCUUCCGCAAUGGACGAAAGUCUGACGGAGCAACGCCGCGUGAGUGAUGAAGGUUUUCGGAUCGUAAAGCUCUGUUGUUAGGGAAGAACAAGUGCCGUUCAAAUAGGGCGGCACCUUGACGGUACCUAACCAGAAAGCCACGGCUAACUACGUGCCAGCAGCCGCGGUAAUACGUAGGUGGCAAGCGUUGUCCGGAAUUAUUGGGCGUAAAGGGCUCGCAGGCGGUUUCUUAAGUCUGAUGUGAAAGCCCCCGGCUCAACCGGGGAGGGUCAUUGGAAACUGGGGAACUUGAGUGCAGAAGAGGAGAGUGGAAUUCCACGUGUAGCGGUGAAAUGCGUAGAGAUGUGGAGGAACACCAGUGGCGAAGGCGACUCUCUGGUCUGUAACUGACGCUGAGGAGCGAAAGCGUGGGGAGCGAACAGGAUUAGAUACCCUGGUAGUCCACGCCGUAAACGAUGAGUGCUAAGUGUUAGGGGGUUUCCGCCCCUUAGUGCUGCAGCUAACGCAUUAAGCACUCCGCCUGGGGAGUACGGUCGCAAGACUGAAACUCAAAGGAAUUGACGGGGGCCCGCACAAGCGGUGGAGCAUGUGGUUUAAUUCGAAGCAACGCGAAGAACCUUACCAGGUCUUGACAUCCUCUGACAAUCCUAGAGAUAGGACGUCCCCUUCGGGGGCAGAGUGACAGGUGGUGCAUGGUUGUCGUCAGCUCGUGUCGUGAGAUGUUGGGUUAAGUCCCGCAACGAGCGCAACCCUUGAUCUUAGUUGCCAGCA